GGACACAUGGGGCCUGUGCUGUCUCAACUGAGAGGUCCUCAUCUGCUGAUUCACUUGCACCUGGGGCUUCUUGGCUGGUCAUCUGGAAAGGUGAUGGGUCAUGCAUCUUCCUGACGCACCGUGAAGCAGGAAGAAAUGGAACAGUAGCUCUGUGUUACAUGUGAGGAGCGAGAAGCACCAACAUGGGUCUUCAUUCUGGAUUUCAUCUUCAAUAUUAAUCCACAGGCUUUAAGAACAUAACGCUUUCUAAAGAGCUCCAGCAAUGGAAACAGCUGACAGCUCUUCCACCAAAGUUGCUUAAACCAUCACGCUGUCACAUUUAAAUAUAAGAAGCCCCCCAUAUGGAAGAAGACAUCCCUCUGUGUACUAGCUCUCUUUCACUAAUGUCCACUUAAAAAAUGCACAUGGUAACUUGAGCUAGUGGCACAUGCUUUUAAUCCCAGUGCCUGGGAGACAGAGGCAGGCAGAUCCCUGAGAGUUUGAGGCCAACCUGGUCUACAGAGUGAGUUCCAGGACAGCAGGGACUACAUAGUUAAACCAUCCAUGUUUUGAAGAAACAAGCAAAUGUAUAUUAUUUACUUAUAUUACAUAUUACAUUGUGCAUGUAUGAUAUAUGUGCAUCAUAGUAAUCUGCCCAUGCCAUACAUUGAAUGAACUGAUAUUUCAAUCUCCCAAAACUUUGG
ensembl:lincRNA uncharacterized LOC110321187